rnacentral:rRNA from 1 species
GUAACGGCGAGUGAAGCGGGAUAGCUCAGGAUGUGAAUCUGCGCUUUUAUGGCGCCGAAUUGUGGUCUGUAGACUUUGACAUUAUUUGCCGGGCCAAGUUCCUUGGAAAAGGACAGCUGAGAGGGUGACACUCCCGUCCGCCUGGUAAAGUGAGUCAUUUGUCAACGAGUCGAGUUGUUUGGGAUUGCAGCUCUAAUUUGGUGGUAAAUUCCAUCUAAAGCUAAAUAUUGGUGGGAGACCGAUAGCGUACAAGUACCGUGAGGGAAAGAUGCAAAGAACUUUGAAAAGAGAGUUAAAGAGUACCUGAAACUGCUGAAACGGAAGCGAAGGAAACCAGUGUUUGUUUGUUCAUAUUUCCCUGGCCACUUGUGGUCUGGGCGCUGUGGACUUGCGUGAGUUUGGGUUGGUUGAUCCCUUUGGAAGAGCGCAGUCAGAGUUGAUGUCUGUUGCUAGCACUGGGUUUGACUGAUGCAGACGAAAUGGUUUUCUUUACCCCGUCUUGAAACACGGACCAAGGAGUCUAACAUAUGUGCGAGUACAGGGGUGUCAAACCCCCGUGCGCAAUGAAAGUGACAGUGGUUGGAAUUUUUGCACAAUCCGCCGGCCUCAAUCCCUCGGGAGAACGGUCUGAGUGUGAGCAUACAUGUUGGGACCCGAAAGAUGGUGAACUAUGCCUGAAUAGGG